AGCGGCGAUUCUAAGCCGGCCGAUAGGCGUGGGUCGCUGCGAAGCUUAAAGAAUCGGCUACACAUGUAGACGCGAUGUGCCGACGAUCUUCGGACAGGGGUUCAACUCCCCUCGCCUCCACCA
rnacentral:tmRNA from 1 species